rnacentral:lncRNA from 1 species
UGCCGAUAUUCUGUACAUUUACUAUUUUGAAUAAAUAAACUAAUUCGAAAGGUAAAUGCACAAAAUAUACAUGCCACAUGUAGUGGAUGAAGUGUGUUUAGACAGGGGAACUGUGUGUGUUUGUGUAGUGUGUGUGUGUGUGUAGUGGAUGCAGAGUGUGUGUAUAUAAUGCAGUGUGUUUAUGUAGUGUGUGUGUAUAAUGCAGUGUGUUUUUGUGUGUGUAUGUAAUGCAGUGUGUGUGUGUUUGUGUAGUGUGUAUGUAUGUAAUGCAGUGUGUGUUUGUGUAGUGUGUGUUGUGUAGUGUGUAUGUAAUGCAGUGUGUGUGUCUGUGUAGUGUGUAUGUAAUGCAGUAUGUGUACUGUGUUUGUGUAGUGUGUAU